UGUAUGAAGAAGGAGGAGGUAGAGGAGUUGAAGGAGAAGAAGAAGAGGAAGGAGGACAAGAAGGAGAAGAAGAAGGUGGUGGUGGCCUUUAGUACCAUCUCAUUUUGAAAGAUGAAAAAGGUCUGAGUUUGUUUGGGAACAGAUUUUUACAGCCAACUUUAAAACCUGUAAAUGAAAUGGAAAUUUAAAAACUCCAAACUGUUGCAGCCAAAUUACAGAAGAUGUUGAAUUCAAACCAUAACUUUUAUGAAAAGUGUAAGUGAAAACUAUUUUGAUGCUGCCUGAAUAUUAAAAUCUGGCCAAUGUUU